GGACCCUAGGUCAGGCAGUGUCACCC
rnacentral:rRNA from 1 species